rnacentral:rRNA from 1 species
UACGUAGGGUGGGAGCGUUGUCCGGAAGUAUUGGGCGUAAAGAGCCCGUAGGCGGUUUGUCGCGUCUGCUGUGAAAACUGGGGGCUCAACCCCCAGCCUGCAGUGGGUACGGGCAGACUAGAGUGCGGUAGGGGAGAUUGGAAUUCCUGGUGUAGCGGUGGAAUGCGCAGAUAUCAGGAGGAACACCGAUGGCGAAGGCAGAUCUCUGGGCCGUAACUGACGCUGAGGAGCGAAAGCAUGGGGAGCGAACAGG